CUGAAGGCCUGUGCUACCUGCUGGUCAAAUAUAUUUACUACAUCUGGAGUAGAAAUCAGGACAAACAGCUACAGAAAGACACUGGACUACGAAAAAAACUGCUAAACUCAAUCAGCCAGUAUACUUCAAAGAUGUACUAACCUCUGCAUGGAAACCAGGACAUGUAUUACAUUGGGGUAGGGGUUUUGCAUUGGUUUCUACAGGAGAAGAAACACUUUGGAUACCAUCAAAGUUGAUCAAGAUUCGACUAAAAAAGGAAAAACCUUUCGACAAGGACAAAUGACAGGUAUUCUACUAAGGUAUAUCUUAUAAACUAAAUAGAAGCCUCCCAAAGGAAAGGGAAGUGUUUUGUUUUUAUCUUCACAGAAAAACUCAUCUUCAGAAGGCAAAGGACACUACAUGGGUAGAUACUUAAGAAGAAAAGCCAAUGAAGACCUGCCUGACAGCAAUCCCUGGACACCCUGGAAAGAAAAUGGGCCACAGCUCCUCGACUGCACUGGAUCCAACUUGCUCCAUUUCAGCUGACACUCCGGCCAGAGGUUCGGGUACUGACUUCAAUCAAGUUGAGGAUUUCAAGCGAGAUCUUCAAUCAAGUGAAUCCCAUCUAACAUGGACUGGAUACUAACAUUUUCUUUCUACAGGACCCCACAUGACUAUCAUCGUCCCAUUUCAGCAGGAAGUAACUUGGAAAAUGCUACGCCCCCUUUCCCCAUUGUUGUCACUUAGGAUAGUGUAUAUACCUAGUUAGGAAUAGCUUCCUAUUGUUUAUGACUUUAGGGUUUAGUUAAAAUAGAUAGUUAUCUUCUUAUAUUUUACCUUUAUACUGUUAAGUUUUAAUCCUCUUUUAGACUAAAAGGGGAAUUGUAGGGGAAGCUGUAGCCACGCCUUCUUAGGGGCUGGCUACAAGAGUACCUGAG
rnacentral:lncRNA from 1 species